AGUGCCAGUUGUUCCAACCCCCAGAAUUUCAGUUGCCUAUACGUCUCGUGAGCAAGGUAGAGGCAUGAUACUAUGUGGAAGCAAUGCUAAUGCACGUGCAACAGCUACUGCAGCCGAGACCACAGGAGCUGAAAACUCCACUAGCUUGAAUGGAUUUCGAGAAAAAUGUAUCAGGUUACUCCUUGUGAACCGGUUGCUGCUCCGCGAGCUGACUAAACGUGUGGCAUCCCUUGAAAGCAACGCUUCUUUUGUACCAGCUGAGCACCAACUGUCAUGUGAUGCUGCACUACUGCUUGAGCAGCCACUUUCUUCAAUAGAAGAGCCAGAAGACGUGGAGAGUGCAUUACGUGAACCGGCUCAAAAGCAG